ACACAUGAUGACUUACAUUGGAAUCUCGUUCGGCUGAUGGCUUGCUGUUGAGACUCGGAAGUCUGACUUUC
rnacentral:snoRNA from 1 species